UGAUCCAGCAGAACGUUCUCUGGUUUCAGGUCUCUGUGGAUGAUGCCUUGGCCAUGGAGGAAUCUCAGAGCCUCCAGAACACAGGUUGUGUAGAAACGGACUGCGCUUUCAUCAAACGGACCUCUGAAACCAACAAGUGCUCUGUCCCCGAAGCUGUCUCCUCUGGAGAGGACGGACACGCACACGCUGUCCUCGCUGACCGAGCGCCUCUCUAACACUUCCACCUGACGGACGAUCAGAAAGACACGUCUGAGCCCAUCUGAGUUGGUGUAAAUAGUUAUGGUGCAACAUUUGAAGAUCGACUAUUAGGUUCCUCACCUGGCCACUGGUCACGAUGAAGAAGGUGUCUCCAGGAACGCCGUGUCUCACGAUGUAGUCCCUGUCUCUGUAAUGACACUGCCCAAAAAGCGUGCAUCGCAACAUAAAGUAGUGACCCGAGUGAUUACAAAUAGAACGCUAUAUCACGAGAGGAUGGAAGAUCUUACCUCCUGCAGAACGUCUGAGAUUUUAAUGAGAUCAUCCUCCGGUAAAGCGCAGAGCAACGGCACACUGAGAAAGAGAAUAAACAGAAGGAAGUGGCCUAACAGAAUGUUAGUGUUUUUCUUGCCGUGGGCCAGAACAUUGCCUCGUCUCGCCUCGCCUCCUUUUAUAACUGAAGCUGAAUACAGCUGCAUGAUGUCUGUAGAGCUGGAUUAGAAAUAUCCUAGGAAGGUUUAAUAGAAUAGAAAACUCUCGCAAUUAUGUUUGGUGUUUGAACGGCUUGUUCAAGGUCUGACUUUUGUUCACAUUUCUAAAGAAGCUGCGCUUUAUUAAGGUUCUGACCUGCGGAGAACAUCCACACACUGAGUGAUGCGGAGAACACUGCUCCUCUGCAUGAUUCUCUCAAACACCUGACGCUCCAGCACCCACAGCUUACUGCUCACCAGUGCUGAGAGACAGAGAGAGAGAGAGAGAGAGAGAGAGAGAGGUGAGAGAGAGAGGAGAGAGAGAGAGAGAGAGAGAGAGAGAGGUGAGAGA